rnacentral:rRNA from 1 species
UACACUCCUGCGGGAGGCAGUAGUGGGGAAUUUUGGCCAAUGGGCGAAAGCCUGAUCCAGCAAUGCCGCGUGAGUGAAGAAGGCCUUCGGGUUGUAAAGCUCUUUUGUCAGGGAAGAAACGGUGAGAGCUAAUAUCUCUUGCUAAUGACGGUACCUGAAGAAUAAGCACCGGCUAACUACGUGCCAGCAGCCGCGGUAAUACGUAGGGUGCAAGCGUUAAUCGGAAUUACUGGGCGUAAAGCGUGCGCAGGCGGUUUUGUAAGUCUGAUGUGAAAUCCCCGGGCUCAACCUGGGAAUUGCAUUGGAGACUGCAAGGCUAGAAUCUGGCAGAGGGGGGUAGAAUUCCACGUGUAGCAGUGAAAUGCGUAGAUAUGUGGAGGAACACCGAUGGCGAAGGCAGCCCCCUGGGUCAAGAUUGACGCUCAUGCACGAAAGCGUGGGGAGCAAACAGGAUUAGAUACCCGGGUAGUCCCA